rnacentral:rRNA from 1 species
AGCGUACACGGUGGAUGCCCUGGCAGUCAGAGGCGAUGAAGGACGUGCUAAUCUGCGAUAAGCGUCGGUAAGGUGAUAUGAACCGUUAUAACCGGCGAUUUCCGAAUGGGGAAACCCAGUGUGAUUCGUCACACUAUCAUUAACUGAAUCCAUAGGUUAAUGAGGCGAACCGGGGGAACUGAAACAUCUAAGUACCCCGAGGAAAAGAAAUCAACCGAGAUUCCCCCAGUAGCGGCGAGCGAACGGGGAGCAGCCCAGAGCCUGAAUCAGUGUGUGUGUUAGUGGAAGCGUCUGGAAAGGCGCGCGAUACAGGGUGACAGCCCCGUACACAAAAAUGCACAUGCUGUGAGCUCGAUGAGUAGGGCGGGACACGUGGUAUCCUGUCUGAAUAUGGGGGGACCAUCCUCCAAGGCUAAAUACUCCUGACUGACCGAUAGUGAACCAGUACCGUGAGGGAAAGGCGAAAAGAACCCCGGCGAGGGGAGUGAAAAAGAACCUGAAACCGUGUACGUACAAGCAGUGGGAGCACGCUUAGGCGUGUGACUGCGUACCUUUUGUAUAAUGGGUCAGCGACUUAUAUUCUGUAGCAAGGUUAACCGAAUAGGGGAGCCGAAGGGAAACCGAGUCUUAACUGGGCGUUAAGUUGCAGGGUAUAGACCCGAAACCCGGUGAUCUAGCCAUGGGCAGGUUGAAGGUUGGGUAACACUAACUGGAGGACCGAACCGACUAAUGUUGAAAAAUUAGCGGAUGACUUGUGGCUGGGGGUGAAAGGCCAAUCAAACCGGGAGAUAGCUGGUUCUCCCCGAAAGCUAUUUAGGUAGCGCCUCGUGAAUUCAUCUCCGGGGGUAGAGCACUGUUUCGGCAAGGGGGUCAUCCCGACUUACCAACCCGAUGCAAACUGCGAAUACCGGAGAAUGUUAUCACGGGAGACACACGGCGGGUGCUAACGUCCGUCGUGAAGAGGGAAACAACCCAGACCGCCAGCUAAGGUCCCAAAGUCAUGGUUAAGUGGGAAACGAUGUGGGAAGGCCCAGACAGCCAGGAUGUUGGCUUAGAAGCAGCCAUCAUUUAAAGAAAGCGUAAUAGCUCACUGGUCGAGUCGGCCUGCGCGGAAGAUGUAACGGGGCUAAACCAUGCACCGAAGCUGCGGCAGCGACGCUUAUGCGUUGUUGGGUAGGGGAGCGUUCUGUAAGCCUGCGAAGGUGUGCUGUGAGGCAUGCUGGAGGUAUCAGAAGUGCGAAUGCUGACAUAAGUAACGAUAAAGCGGGUGAAAAGCCCGCUCGCCGGAAGACCAAGGGUUCCUGUCCAACGUUAAUCGGGGCAGGGUGAGUCGACCCCUAAGGCGAGGCCGAAAGGCGUAGUCGAUGGGAAACAGGUUAAUAUUCCUGUACUUGGUGUUACUGCGAAGGGGGGACGGAGAAGGCUAUGUUGGCCGGGCGACGGUUGUCCCGGUUUAAGCGUGUAGGCUGGUUUUCCAGGCAAAUCCGGAAAAUCAAGGCUGAGGCGUGAUGACGAGGCACUACGGUGCUGAAGCAACAAAUGCCCUGCUUCCAGGAAAAGCCUCUAAGCAUCAGGUAACAUCAAAUCGUACCCCAAACCGACACAGGUGGUCAGGUAGAGAAUACCAAGGCGCUUGAGAGAACUCGGGUGAAGGAACUAGGCAAAAUGGUGCCGUAACUUCGGGAGAAGGCACGCUGAUAUGUAGGUGAAGUCCCUCGCGGAUGGAGCUGAAAUCAGUCGAAGAUACCAGCUGGCUGCAACUGUUUAUUAAAAACACAGCACUGUGCAAACACGAAAGUGGACGUAUACGGUGUGACGCCUGCCCGGUGCCGGAAGGUUAAUUGAUGGGGUCAGCGCAAGCGAAGCUCUUGAUCGAAGCCCCGGUAAACGGCGGCCGUAACUAUAACGGUCCUAAGGUAGCGAAAUUCCUUGUCGGGUAAGUUCCGACCUGCACGAAUGGCGUAAUGAUGGCCAGGCUGUCUCCACCCGAGACUCAGUGAAAUUGAACUCGCUGUGAAGAUGCAGUGUACCCGCGGCAAGACGGAAAGACCCCGUGAACCUUUACUAUAGCUUGACACUGAACAUUGAGCCUUGAUGUGUAGGAUAGGUGGGAGGCUUUGAAGUGUGGACGCCAGUCUGCAUGGAGCCGACCUUGAAAUACCACCCUUUAAUGUUUGAUGUUCUAACGUUGACCCGUAAUCCGGGUUGCGGACAGUGUCUGGUGGGUAGUUUGACUGGGGCGGUCUCCUCCUAAAGAGUAACGGAGGAGCACGAAGGUUGGCUAAUCCUGGUCGGACAUCAGGAGGUUAGUGCAAUGGCAUAAGCCAGCUUGACUGCGAGCGUGACGGCGCGAGCAGGUGCGAAAGCAGGUCAUAGUGAUCCGGUGGUUCUGAAUGGAAGGGCCAUCGCUCAACGGAUAAAAGGUACUCCGGGGAUAACAGGCUGAUACCGCCCAAGAGUUCAUAUCGACGGCGGUGUUUGGCACCUCGAUGUCGGCUCAUCACAUCCUGGGGCUGAAGUAGGUCCCAAGGGUAUGGCUGUUCGCCAUUUAAAGUGGUACGCGAGCUGGGUUUAGAACGUCGUGAGACAGUUCGGUCCCUAUCUGCCGUGGGCGCUGGAGAAUUGAGGGGGGCUGCUCCUAGUACGAGAGGACCGGAGUGGACGCAUCACUGGUGUUCGGGUUGUCAUGCCAAUGGCACUGCCCGGUAGCUAAAUGCGGAAGAGAUAAGUGCUGAAAGCAUCUAAGCACGAAACUUGCCCCGAGAUGAGUUCUCCCUGACUCCUUGA